AAAGGCUACUUGAACUUACCAAACAUGAGAUAACUAUAUAAGUAUAAAAUUAGUCUAAUUCUAUACUUAAUCUUAUCGGCCAAACAUGCCCAAGAUAUUAUUUACGGCGCUCCAUUUUUAUUGUGAAAAAACGGCUAGUGGGAUUGUCGUCAUUAUUGUGUUUUUAAAAGGUACUUUUUCGCUUCAAUUAAUCGUAUCAUCGGAAGUACACUUUAUCAGGCCGGUUUAAUAAAAGGUUAUUUGUUUUAAUGUUGAAAAUUACACAUACUUUCACUAUUUAUUAAAAGCAUUAAUAUUUUAAAAAACAACUAGCAAUUUAAAUAAAUGCAAGCACCCAAAGUUGAUCUAAAUAAAAUGACUCGGUUCCAGAGAGUGUUAAUUAUAAAAUAAGAAGAUUGAUUGUCUCGUAAUCUACAGAUAUGUCAAGGGAAUCAAAUCCUUACUUUUUAACAAUUUUCUCCUCCUCAAUAGGCUUUAAAAUAAGUCACUUAACAUAGGAGAACCCAUCUCAAUUUUGUUAUUUUUUAUUUUUUUAUAAGAACUCAACUUGUGCCAUGCCCAUGCGUUAUGCACAAACAUAAUACCUCCCAGGUGAUGUGACCAUUGUGAAUAUUGAUCUAUUGUUUAGGGAGAAAAUGGAAACAGCUGGAUUAUUAUUUGUAUAUUUAAUUAUUUUAAAGGGAUGGCUAAUUAUGACUAUAGAGGGAUCAAAAUUUCCAUUCAACUUGACAUACUUAUUAUAAUAUAAAAUAAUAAAAUUAAUUCAUGACUUUAUAUUCAUACGAGUGAUGACAUAAUUUGAGUAUAAGUGAUCAAGUGUAAGCAUCUUAUUUGUCAAAAUCUAAGUUAAGGAGUUGUGGGUUUUAUAGUAUAAUUCUCUACUUUAAAUAUUGAUAUUACGCAGGAUAAGGUUAGUGACAGUGCACAUCUAGUUAUUUUUUACAAUUUGAGAAUAUUUUAAAUCAUAAAGAAUGAUAGUAUAUAAUAUCUUUGAACAAUUUUGUGCUUAUAAGACGAUAUUUACUCUUAUUUUUACUGACAAUACAAACCACUCAUUUUAUUUUAUUCUGAAAUACCGAAGAAAUUGUUUUCAAUAAUUUGCUUGGAAGACUUGAAUCUUCACUCGAAUGAGGAAGAAGAAGGGAGAAAAACAAAUAGAAAACCGAUUUAACUAAUCAAUGGCCAUCAACUAGCAAGUAAUUUUACAAUAACAUGCUUAAUUGGACAUUGGAAUCUAUUUUUGCCUUGAAAAUUUUCAACCUUUUUUCUUUUUUCUUUUUCGGUGCUUUAUUAACAGUUUUUUCCGUCUCCAAAAUUUUUACACCGUCACAUACGGACCAAGAAUUUAAUGUCGUUUUAACCAUAAAAGUUCACUUAAGCGGACCAUAAACUAAAACUUUUUCAAAUUCUCCAAAAGAAAUGAAAGUCGCACAGGUGUUUAUUUUCUUUGCCCCCGGGCCCCCACUCCCCUACGGGUUUAUAACUUAGGAUCUCUCUAAGUUACAUGCAUGUACCUUACAACCCUCUCACAUGAAUAGUGAAUGGACCCACAUCAUUCACUAUUCAUAUGAGAGAGUUGUAAGGUACAUGCAUGUAACUUAACAUUAGCCUAUAACUUAUAAGUCAUUUUUUACCUUGACCAUAAUGUUUCACACUAGAUUCCCCUACGACCCGGCGUUCUAGAAAAUAAUUCAGAUCGCAAAAUAAACUUCCUUGCGAUCUCAGCCAUCCAAAUGUUGUGGAAGGGCGGUGGCAAAAUUACACGGGCGUAGUACGGAAUCAUUGAUCUCGGUGCAUUAUAAUUACCGAGAAGAAAUAUUAAAUUAAUAAUCCUGCUUUUGUCAGUCAUCUUUUACGUGGCUUCAAUGUAUAGAGCUAGGUUCUGCGCUGGUAUCAAGCGCUAUAGCACACGUGUAAAGAAGAAAAAUCACCGCAGCGUACGUAUGGGAAGUGGCGGGCUGCCCGUGGUUCACGGGCAGAGGUUGCUGCCGCGGAAACAGAAACCUCGUAACCCGAGCCUAGUUAAAGUGUCCAUAUACUACCAUGGAAACGAUCCCAUGAUAAUCCCAUGAGCCUUCACAUGAAAUAUCUAAAUUUAUGACAUCUGUACAAUUUCCAUAAACAUAACAAUUAUAAUUUGCGUCGUUUAAUUUUGAUAGCAAAAUUUCAUAUACUAAAAAUUUAAAUCAUUAAAAAAAUAGAAUAAUUAUCUGAAAAAUGAAAUUAUACACACUACAAUCAUAAUUAAAUUGUGCUGUUAUGAAAUUAUUUUUGCUUCAAAAUAGAAUGCAAACAAUUCUUAAUUUCUUAUCUUUGAAAACUAAAGGAAUUAUAAUUUGCAUUAAAUUAGUCAUGAAUUUUUAUUUUCUUUAUAUCACUUUUUAACCUUAAGUUGUUUACUGUUGCCAAAAAAAAAUUAUUAAAAACUUGUUGACGAAGACUUAAAUCGCAUUAGAAAAGAUCUAAUAGAGUUGUCUCCAUCAAAUUCAUAAACAGAGAGAGAGGGCGCAUACAUGAUUCAUAAUGAAUGAUGAUGAGAAAGGAUGGGGAUGGUGGGGUCCGCAAUGAUGACUUCGCGGGAUGUGGGACCCGUCGAAGUUGGGAAGUGGGGAAAAGGACAAAAGACGAAUGAGAGAGAAAAAGUAAAAGUUAAAAUAGAGAGAGUGAAGGGCGUGACGUCACCGAGAGGGGCCUUGAGUAUGAGUAAAGAGGGAAGGUGGUGGGGCCACGUGAAACCAUGGGUUGUGGGAGUGGUGUGGGCAUGGGGUUUUGGUUGUAGCAGUACAACGUACUGUUUGGUUACGGGAACCCGCUUUCUUGAUGGGAGAGUCUUACUUGCAUUUAUGGAGCGUGCUCUUUACUUGAAUGAUGUUUUAAAAUGGUAGCGAACUUUGCUUAAGAGUUUAGGCAAGGCUAAUUACAACUCUCUCCUCAAGUUAUUAUUAUUAUUAU
rnacentral:lncRNA from 1 species